rnacentral:rRNA from 1 species
CCUGCACAAGCGGUGGARAAAUAAGGUUUAAUUCGAAGCAACGCGCAGAACCUUACCAGCGUUUGACAUGUCCGGACGGUUGGCAGAGAUGCCUUCCUUCCCUUCGGGGACUGGAACACAGRUGCUGCAUGGCKGUCGUCAGCUCGUGUCGUGAGAUGUUGGGUUAAGUCCCGCAACGAGCGCAACCCUCSCCUUUAGUUACCAUCAUUUAGUUGGGGACUCUAAAGGAACCGCCGGUGAUAAGCCGGAGGAAGGKGGGGAUGACGUCAAGUCCUCAUGGCCCUUACGCGCUGGGCUACACACGUGCUACAAUGGCGGUGACAGUGGGCAACAAACUCGCGAGAGUGCG